rnacentral:rRNA from 1 species
AUUUCUGUUAAUAAUUUAUAUAAAAUAUUUUGAAUAUUUAUAUAACAUUAACAUAAUUCAUAUUACUAUAUUUUUUAGUAUAUGAAAUUUUACUUUGAGAAAAUUAGAGUGCUUAAAGCAGGCAUAUGCCUUGAAUACUCCAGCAUGGAAUAAUAUUAAAGAUUUUUAUCUUUCUUAUUGGUUCUAAGAUAAGAAUAAUGAUUAAUAGGGACAGUUGGGGGCAUUUGUAUUUAACAGUCAGAGGUGAAAUUCUUAGAUUUGUUAAAGACAAACUAAUGCGAAAGCAUUUGCCAAGGAUGUUUUCAUUAAUCAAGAACGAAAGUUAGGGGAUCGAAGACGAUCAGAUACCGUCGUAGUCUUAACCAUAAACUAUGCCAACUAGAGAUUGGAGGUUGUUCCUUACUCCUUCAGCACCUUA